rnacentral:rRNA from 1 species
UACGAGGGGGGCGAGCGUUGUCCGGAAUCAUUGGGCGUAAAGCGCGCGUAGGUGGCCCCAUAAGUCCGCUGUGAAAGUCAAAGGCUCAACCUUUGAAAGCCGGUGGAUACUGUGGGACUAGAGUACGGAAGAGGCGAGUGGAAUUCCUGGUGUAGCGGUGGAAUGCGCAGAUAUCAGGAGGAACACCGGUGGCGAAGGCGGGUCUCUGGGCAGUAACUGACGCUGAGGAGCGAAAGCGUGGGGAGCGAACAGG